rnacentral:misc_RNA from 1 species
GAUGAAGAACGUAGCGAAAUGCGAUACGUAAUGUGAAUUGCAGAAUUCAGUGAAUCAUCGAAUCUUUGAACGCAUAUUGCGCUCUCUGGUAUUCCGGAGAGCAUGCUUGUUUGAGUAUCAGUAAACACCUCAACUCCCUUUUCUUUUUUGAAAUUGGAGCUGGACUUGAGUGAUCCCAACGCUUUCUUCCAAGAAAGUGGCGGGUUGCUUGAAAUGCAGGUGCAGCUGAACUUUUCUCUGAGAUAUAAGCAUAUCUAUUUAGUCUGCCUAAAAAACAGAUUAUUACCUUUGCUGCAGCUAACAUAAAGGAGACUAGUUCUUGUGCUGACUGAUGCAGGAUUCACAGAGACAGCUUCGGCUGACUUUGUAAACUCGAUCUCAAAUCAAGUAAGACUACCCGCUGAACUUAAGCAUAUCAAUAAGCGGAGGA